GUACGCACUACUUCAGUGGACAUCUUUUAUCUUUCCUGCUGCUGUGUGUAUAUGGAGGUGUUUGUGACGCUCGGAUGCUUCUCGUUUUUUCAUUUUGUAGCGGUGUGUGUGUGUGUGGGGGGGGGGGUCUCUCUCCUUCGCAUGAGUGAUAGACGCAGGAAAGACGCAUUUUCUUGGCGCUAAAUGAUCUCACGCCCUCCCCCACUCCUUCUCAGGUGGUGCGUAUGCGCAGGCCUCAGAUGUCUCUCCAGCGCGCACGAUCGGCGCACUUCUCGCAGGAGCGAAGACGCGUAGAUGCGCGAACAAGAGCGCGCAACUUCACCGUUGUGGAUUCGCUCUGCUGCCCUGCUUCUUUCUUGCUGCAACUUUUAUUAUCGGAGGACUUCCUUUACGGAGCGCAUCUAGUUUUCCAUCGACCACAAGCGCUCGCACUGACCCGCACACGCCGCUGACAGAUGCCGUCAAUCGCCACAAGAGAGUUUGCCCUCCAUCAACGUUGCACGCUUUCCUCGCUCUCUUUGUGCAGCAGAAACGGAAACGAAAAGGGGUGCGCGUGGUCUGAGAGUGUAACCACGAAAUGGGUGCGAUGAAGAGGCGGCGCGUGCAGUGCGUGGCUCCGCCGCUGUUCGUGCUGCGCUGUGCGAUUUGCGCUCCCUUUCUCCCGCCCCCUCUUUACUGUGUUCUUCGGCUCGACGCUGCUGAAAACGCUCGCCGCCCCUACUCUCCUCCCCUCCUGCCUCACGCUGUCCCUUCCCCGUCCACACGCUCGCCUCGCUGCCCACUCCGUGUCUGUGUGCUGCGUAG
rnacentral:misc_RNA from 1 species